CUGAAUGAGAAGAUCGAUUUGUUUCGCUGUUGACGUCACGAUGAACCGAUCGCAAAUAGCUCGAACUGUUGAGCGACUGGUAUCUUCCAAUCCAGGGAUAACAGCAAGCGUUUGGACGUAGAAAUCUGCAGGAUUAUAGUUUAGAUUUUGUCUCAAGUUGUAUCAACCUUUCGAAGAAACCAAGGGCGCCAGAUGAAGAACCUUGAUAAGCAAUGCGACCCUCAGCCAACAGAACAAGACGAUCAAACAUGGCAAAUGUUUCCGACGAAGGCUGAUGGAUAGUACAAACCACCGUUUUACCGCUGAUGGAAACCUUUCAACAUAAAAACAAGUCUCUCGGCAGAGAAAGUGUCAAGACCGGUAGUUGGUUCAUCGCAGAAGAGGACAGGGGGAUCAGUUAGUACCUGUAUAAAAGAAGUCUAAAAAACUUGAGACGUAAAAAGGAAGAAAACAAAAUUUACUUGGGAAGCAAAAGAGAGUCGUUUGCGCUCUCCUCCGGACAAGCCUUUAGUCACGCCUGGCACUCCAAUCACUACAUUUUGACAUUUCAUUAAUCCCAGUUCAGUCAAAAGCUCAUUGACACGCAAGUUUUGCUCGUAUGGCGUCCAAUUGCCAUUCAUUUUGAGACGGGCAGUGAAAAGGAGGUGUUCCCUGGCUGUCAACGAACCAACAAAGAUGUCAUCCUGAUAAACGUAGCCGCUCAUGUCACAAAAAGAUCGAUCGAUCAGCCGGCCAUUGACGCGGAUUUCGCCAUCAACCACCACUCCAGCUACAAUUAAAAGUUCAAAGAUGUGUUAACCCUAAAACAUUAGAAGUUGCAAGAAAGGGAUAUAUCUUACGAGGACAUCUGCAAGCCAAUGCAUUGAGCAAAGUAGAUUUCCCUGCUCCACUUUGAAAAUUACAAUUCACUGGGAUUAGUUACUGAACUCGCACGUUCAUGCUUUGCUUCAUCGUUGUUACCUAGCGCCCAUUAAGGCGACGAGUGAACCGGGUUGUAAAGCUCCGCGAACUGCAAAAAUUGACAACCGAAACGGGAGGAAAAAAAAUCAAUUUGUUUUGGUUGUAUGAGCAAUGGAAUCCGUAUGAUAACGUCUAGCUGCAAUACCAUUAUUCAAGACUCGUUUGAAGGGGACCGCAUUGCCUUUGGCUUUAGGUGCCGUCACGUAGACGCUCAAAUCACGCCAGGUGAGAGUGGCUCCGAUAGGACGAUCCGUAUGGCUACUAGGUCUCGUCAACGACAAGAAUGCUAUCUACGAGUACGGCAAGAGGUACUGUAUAACGAGAAGAUCCAUUAAUUAGUUUCUAAUACCUCUUCAGCCUGUUUUUCGGCUAUAUUCGGCUGUUGGAAUAAUCUUCCGAUGGGAGUGAAGUCGGAAGAGGAAAACUCAGUCGACGACGUUUCGGACGUCGUAACAGGCGUGGUGGGUUCCAUGAUUGACGGAACCGUCUACCUGACUGACAGGACGUCCGAACGAGCUGAAUUUUUUUGAGAGUGUGCGAAAACUUUCAAGUUCCGCCCUAUAAGGUCUCAUCGUCUACACCAAAUUUCUAUGGGCUCUAUGGGGCCUCUGUUCAAAGGACCUGCUGCUAAGCUGCUAAAAUAAACACACAUCAAAUAUCCGGAAUUCUUUACGAAGAAAAAAAAAAUCUAUCCACCAUUAGGCAAUGAACUCGUGGUCCUUCACGGGCAUUUCAAUGCUUUACGCAAUAACAAAAAAAACCAAAAAAAAGGUACCAAAUGUUUACCAGAAGCUAUAAGUGGUAGCAGUGGGGGAGAAAAUGAGGGAGUCCCAAAUUUCAGCUCGGCGUGUGGUAUUUCCGGAUGCGACGAAGCCAAGGCAGCCGUUUUCUCCUACUCUUUUCCUAUACAUCCCCUCGGUUCCACGUGUACGCGCAUACGUGUAAACGGGCAACAGGAGAAUGGAAACAUUCGUUAGAAAUUCUUUACUGGAACGACGAACAGACAAACGAAAUAAACGACCUAGAAAAAGAAAAAAAAAAGAAAAUAAAUCUAUUGAAACUCGACGACUUGGACUGGGCAUAGUCACGGAAACUUAACGGGGAUAAAAUGAACAACACGUGGGCUCUCUUCCGUCUUGUUUUCCAUUCGUCAUGGUAUUCGCUCGAUCAUGUUACACAACGUAACGGAUACAUAGUAUGUAUAUAUAUAAACUGCAUAGUAGCCGACAUUGAGGAGGCCAACUCCGAAAGGUUCGUGUAGGCGAAAGAAGCGCAUCACAAAGGAUUCCUUGCGGACGUAACAUGGGCAACGUGAAAGAAGGGAUGAAGAAAAGGAAGGAUAAACAAGAGAAAGAGAGAGAGAGAUGCGGAUACACUUUCAAAUUCACAGCGGAAGGAAAAUGUUGCAACUAAACGACGGGCUUCUGAAAUUUCCUUUUUUUUUUUUAACAAUUU
rnacentral:lncRNA from 1 species